GACAGAGGGUGCAAACGUUGUUCGGAAUUACUGGGCGUAAAGCGUGUGUAGGCGGCCAUAUAAGUCGGAUGUGAAAGCCCUGGGCUCAACCCAGGAAGUGCACUCGAUACUGUAUGGCUUGAGUACUGGAGAGGUUGGUGGAAUUCUCGGUGUAGAGGUGAAAUUCGUAGAUAUCGAGAGGAACACCGGUGGCGAAGGCGGCCAACUGGACAGAUACUGACGCUGAGGAGCGAAAGCAUGGGGAGCGAACAGG
rnacentral:rRNA from 1 species